UACGAAGGGGGCUAGCGUUGCUCGGAAUCACUGGGCGUAAAGCGCACGUAGGCGGAUCUUUAAGUCAGGGGUGAAAUCCCAAGGCUCAACCUUGGAACUGCCUUUGAUACUGGGGAUCUCGAGUCCGGAAGAGGUUGGUGGAACUGCGAGUGUAGAGGUGAAAUUCGUAGAUAUUCGCAAGAACACCAGUGGCGAAGGCGGCCAACUGGUCCGGUACUGGACGCGUGA
rnacentral:rRNA from 1 species